UCAAGCAAGUUUUAUACGGCGAGCGGUUCGUGUGCAUCUUACCCCCUGUUUAUUCCAGGCCUUCAAGCAAGGUUAAUACGCAGAGCGGUGCGUGUGGAUCUUUCUUCCUGUUUAUUACAGGCCUUCAAGCAAGGUUUAUACGGCGAGCGGUACGUGUGGAUCUUUACUGAACAGGUGUAUGAAUUCCGUUGGGUGAGGGCCACAGCCGACUGCACACUGGAACAGGUUCAAUUGGUCGCCAACGGUCGCUUUGGGAUGUACUUUCAGAAUAUGAGUUCGUCAACCGAGCGAACUAUAACCGGACGGACUGCUGAAGAAGAAGUGGUUAUUUUAAAAACGAAGAUUUUCAAUUCAUCAUUCGAAAUGUCGAGUACAGCCCCUUGGGUGUUGGAUACAGCCUGGGCACUUGCUCUCGGUCUCAACAAUAGUAUUAAAUACCUUAAGGAGCAAGGACUGUCCCUUACUAACUACUUUUAUAGUAAACAACACCUGGCUGCCAUCAUGAAAGGAAUGGACGAUGUAGCCUUUCUUGGCGUCACGG